CAGUCGCCGCGGGAAUACGUAGGGUGCGAGCGUUAAUCGGAAUUACUGGGCGUAAAGCGUGCGCAGGCGGUUAUAUAAGACAGAUGUGAAAUCCCCGGGCUCAACCUGGGACCCGCAUUUGUGACUGUAUAGCUAGAGUACGGUAGAGGGGGAUGGAAUUCCGCGUGUAGCAGUGAAAUGCGUAGAUAUGCGGAGGAACACCGAUGGCGAAGGCAAUCCCCUGGACCUGUACUGACGCUCAUGCAUGAAAGCGUGGGGAGCAAACAGGAUUAGAUACCCCUGUAGUCCCUGUCUCUUAUAC
rnacentral:rRNA from 1 species